GAUCCGCGUCCGAGACGUUGCCGGCGCUGUCCAUGGUCCUCGACCGGUACACACCAUCUGUGAUUCUUCUAACAAGUGUAAGCAAAGGUGCAGAAGCUAAUGAUGUACUUGCACAUCAGCAUAUGCUAGAAGAGGGGAUGCUAUACAGU